rnacentral:rRNA from 1 species
AUGAACGCUGGCGGCGUGCCUCAUACAUGCAAGUCGAGCGAACAGAUGAGGAGCUUGCUCCUCUGACGUUAGCGGCGGACGGGUGAGUAACACGUGGAUAACCUACCUAUAAGACUGGGAUAACUUCGGGAAACCGGAGCUAAUACCGGAUAAUAUAUUGAACCGCAUGGUUCAAUAGUGAAAGACGGUUUUGCUGUCACUUAUAGAUGGAUCCGCGCCGCAUUAGCUAGUUGGUAAGGUAACGGCUUACCAAGGCAACGAUGCGUAGCCGACCUGAGAGGGUGAUCGGCCACACUGGAACUGAGACACGGUCCAGACUCCUACGGGAGGCAGCAGUAGGGAAUCUUCCGCAAUGGGCGAAAGCCUGACGGAGCAACGCCGCGUGAGUGAUGAAGGUCUUCGGAUCGUAAAACCCUGUUAUUAGGGAAGAACAAAUGUGUAAGUAACUAUGCACGUCUUGACGGUACCUAAUCAGAAAGCCACGGCUAACUACGUG